AUAAAUUUGAAGAAAUUAACUAACUUUCUAUGCAUCUGGACGAAGAGCGUGUGGCUGGAUGUGCUUAUUCUGUCUAUGCAAGUCUUCCUGCAGGUUGGUGUUUAAGCUAUACUUGUGUGAAUCGAGACCGCCAUCCCAUGGUUGCUCUCAGAUUUGUUCUCAGAGAGAUAAAUGGCUGUUACCCCCCGCCCACCUUUCUUUACAGGGUGGUUGUACUGAAACAAAAGACCACGUCCUUCAUAUAUUCAGUGCUGUGUUUUGACAUGCUGUGUAUUGAGUUAAACCUCUUCCCAGCUGCCAAAAACCUUCAACUUCACUUACCUAUGGCACGUAACUUUCAGUGCUCUGAAAAGUUAUCGAAGGGCAGGAGGGCACAGGAAAAGAAUAAAACAAAGAGAUUUUACAGCCAGACUACAGUGAACCUGCAGUAUAGUUAUACUGGUACCAUAAAGGAAUCAUUUUGGAUGCUGCUACUUUUGUUUGCCAAGGUAAAUGCUAUAGCAGAGCUAUGGCCAAAUGAAUUCCUGAAAGUAAUCUUUAUUUGGUAAAGAGACAAACUAUGAUGCUACAGUAAUUUUGUAUUGCAGUACUUCACUAUGCUGUAGUUUCUCACAGGGGAGGGUUGAAUACCUAAUGUUGUUUAGGGAGCCGUGAUAGCUUUUACAUUUUUACAGAUGCUUUCUAAAAUAAGCUAACAUCACCUGCUUGUUUUCCAAGCAUUCUCUGCAGAAUGGCUUUAGUGCACUCUUAACACAACAGUUUCUGUCUUCAGAAGGAAUCCUCAAAGUAAAUCCUGGCAAUGGGAGAGAAGGACAGAAUAGCUUUCUGUUUCUGAAAGGGAAAUAGCUGUUUGCUUGAGACUACUUACUGGUAUGUGUCCCACUUGAAAUGUUGAGUGCUCCUGCCAAGUUUUACAGGGUGUUUAUUUAAUAUGAGUUUCUGCUGAAUGUGUAAAUUUUCUUGACUACGUUGUGCCUGACAUAUCCAUAUGUGAAACUUAAGAGGGCUGGUCUGCACAGGAACAAUCCAUAAAUGUAAGGAAAUUGGCUGAACACAUAAAGUCAAUACACCUAAAUUACUCUAUCUUAAACUCUCCUGCGGAUAAUUUCUUUCUGGAGUAGAGUGAUUUCAUUUUAUUGCAUAGUAAGCCAAAAGGUAAAAUUACUUCACAACUGAAUGAGAACAUCCACGCUGUGUAACUGACUGUAAUUGAGGGUGUUUGCAAACAUCCUCUGGUUAAUCUACAUUCUGGUUAAACUGAGCUAAGAAACCUGCUUCCCAAAACAAACCGUCAUCAUUCAGAAGGCAAAGGCUGCUGCCUUUACCUAUACAGCCAGCUAUCUAAGGACUCUGUCCUGUUUCAGUACAAAUUUAGGCAAACCGCAUUAAUAAUUAUUAAUAACUAAGUCACAUAAUUUGCUUAGAAGCUUUGAAGAAGUGCUCUACUGGCUGAAUUGGUAGAAUAAUGUGCAUUAGGUGAUGUAGCAACUAUCAGCUGACAAAGCAGGAGAUAAAAAAUUUUGUGCUGCUGUGAAUGAAGGUGAUUUUCUUCAUUCUCCAUUGUUCUUUUGUUUUCACUAUCGCCGCGUGGUCCGAACCAGAACUGACAGCAUCCUCUCCUUAUCAUUUACCAAAAUUCCUUGAAACUCAUCUUGUUCAUUUCGCUUUGGGUUAUCUUGAAAAAUGCUAUUGCAAAUGUGAUUAACUGUGCUCCUAAAACGGAAUUCUUUUCUUCAGAAUAUGAUGUCAUUCUUCAGUGCUGCUUAGAUGUAGGAGAAUUAGAAGGACAUUGAGUGCAGUUAAUUCCAUUGAUUGUUAACAGCACAAAUGAUACAAUCUAUUUAUUGUAUUCUUCACCUGGUUCAUGGCCAUAGCCUUGCUUAAAUAUGGUAAUAUUUCUAACACCUACACCCAUCCAGUGAUCAGGAGCCAUUGUGCUUUAGGUCAAAAAUAGGUUCCCACAUCUGACAUCCUGAAUAUGUUGUUUAUUGUUGUUGUAUAUGAAGCAGGUACAGACAGGCCAGGACAAUAAUUACAUUUAUUAAUAGUCAAAUUUUAUCCAGAUAUGGAAUUUGUGAAUAUACAACAUUGCUUUAUUGACAUACCUUGUCAAGUGGUGAAAACUGUAAGUAUAAUGUCCUCACUGAAGAAGAUUGAACCAGUGAAUUAUUCUAUUAGUAGAGUACGUAAUUUUUGUACGGAUAAAGCACGUAUUUGAUUUCCUAUGCUUGAAAUCACAUUUUAAAAUACUAAUAUUGCAAUACAGCCAGUAGGUGGCGAUAGCCAUUUAAUUUAUUAAACUAUGGCAGCUCCCCAGCUCACGCUCUCGUGUUGGUACUCACGUUACCUUUGAGCCUUACAAAAAAAGAAAUUAAAAAAAUCACUCUUGAAGAGUCUUUCUGAGUGUACUCUCAACUUUAUAGUUGAAGGAUUUGCUGUGCAGGGAAAUGCAACAGCAUUUGUCGGAGCAGUGUCAGAGUCAUGUCAAUUUAAGCUCCAGUUUCCUGUUCUUCUAUAUAUUGACAGUAUUAGCUUAUUAUGAAUUUUUCCUUACAUUAUAUAUAUGUUUAUGAUGUAUUCUUUAGCAACUAGGAACAAAUGUUCCCAAGGCCUUUUUUUUCUGUGGCAUGUAUAUAUGCCUUUGUACUUAGACUGAGGGAGCCACUUGAAAGCUGUAGAUUGUAUGCAGAUACCCACUGGUAGUAUAGGUGCAAUAUCAUAUAAGAUAAAAAAUUAGAUUUAUUUUCUCUGAAUGAUACAGAAUGUUAUUAUUGGUAGGAUAUGAAGAAGAAAAGGCUUGUGUAUAGUUCUUAAAAGUGUUUAGAGUACAAUAGCAGUGAUAGUUGGGAGUCUGUUUAGGACAAAGCCAUGAGGGGUUUUCUCAGAUUAGUGAGACAUUACUCUUAUAAAAUGUUAUGCAAUGCUAUUUUGAUUAACUGUGUGUUAAAAAAAUCUAGUCCUUGACUUGUCAAUAGAUUGGUUUUGUUUUCUGCAAAUAGACAUCAGGUGGCUCUGCUGCUUGAACCAAAUGUUCAGCUUUAUCUUCAGCCAGAAAUUUAAUAUGAAAUGAGAGUGAAAGAGAACGUCCAUGAAAGAAGAGGAUAAACAGGAGGCAGAUGGUCCAUGUGUGUAACUUGCAUUGCCAAAUAGUGGAUUAAGAUGAUCUUUUUGAAUGCUACUUCACAACCUUAGAGCAACUGAGAGAAGUUAGGUUUCCAUUAGCUAUUGAAUGAGAAAAUUUAUUCCAGUCUUCAUAAGAACAUCUCCCAUUUCCUGAACUAGAGGAGAAGAUGCUAAUCUAAAGAGUGACCUAGAAGCAGUGUAAGUAGAGGGAAGCACAAAAGUGCCAUCUCCCUGCAUGGUUCUAUCAAACCCAUUUACCAUACUGAUCAGAGACUGAGUCAGAGCUAGAAAGCAGAUGAAAUUCACAGGAAAACCAUUUGAGCAGUCAAUAAUUUUGCAGUUCGCAACAAUGCAUUAGAACUGUUUCUUCAGCCACAGUGUUGUAGGAUGGUUCCCCUGACUGGAGGGCUAUGAUGAAUUGUGCUCUGUAUAACAAAGCAGCUCAGAUGCAAGGAGCUUUGCUAUGAAAAGGACAAGUCUGUCAGCAGUUUAUGGGAUCAGAAGGGAGGCCAUGAAGCAGACAUAGUGAUAGGAUUCUGCUACUGGUUGCCCAGACAAGAAGAGCAUAGCCUUCCUUAAACAACUGGAAUAAGUCCCAUAGGCCCUGCUUCUCAAAUGGAGUCUUGAAUCAUUCUGACAUCUGCUGGAUGGACAUCACAUCAGGGAACAGGUAGCUGAUGAGAUUUCUGGAGUACAUGGGGGACAAUUUUGUGGUUCACUUAGGUAGACUGACUAGAAGGGCUCCACUGACCUGACCUUCUGAAUAUGUAAGAGCUGGUACAGAAUGAGAAAGCUUGACAGCAGACUUGGCUACAGUGACCAUAAAAAGAUGUUAAAGGAAUUAAGGAAAGGGAAUAGUAGUCUGACAGCUUAGGACUUUGUGGGCUUUUUCGGGGAAUUAGCAGGAAGGAUCUCAUGAGAGGUUGAAGGGCAAAUAUGCCCAGGAGAACUGGCUAGACAUCAAGGAUAUUCUAUUUAAAUCAGAAUAAAGAAAGAAAGAAAGAGAGAGAGAGAGAGAGAGAGAAAGAAAGAAAGAAUGGAAAAGCAAAAGAUAGCCUAAGCGUAGAAAAGAAAUGGAUAGAAGCUAGUAGCUGGAAGCAGGGUCAAGCCACCUGUAAGAAAUUAGGAAGUAUCACCUGGGUAUACAAUGAGGACCUCGAAUGGGAUAGGCAGUCUUGUACCAAAGGAUACAAACAAGUUCAGUGUCAUCAUUGCCUUGGUUUUUACUAGCAAGCUCUCCUCUCAGAUUUAUCAGGCUCCUUUUGUUCAGUAGCAAAACUUGAGAGAAAGAGGUAUUACAAAUGGUAAAGGACAAUCAAGUUAGAAACUACUUAAACUGGAAGUACUGAAGGUGAUAGGCCUGGAUGGGAUUAAUGCAUUUCAAGGUGCUGAGGAAGUUGGCAGAUGUCAUUACCAGGUACCUCUCUUUUAUCAUCCAAACGUUAUGGUGAACACAGCUGUUGGAUGAGUUGAGAAAGAGAAAUGUCAUGCUCGUCUUCAGAAGUGGUAGAAGAGAUCUGGAAACCAAGGGGUGGUGAGCCUUACCUCAGCCUGUUAGAAUCAUAGAAUCAUAGAAUCGCUCAGGUUGGAAAAGAUGUUAAAGAUCAUCAAGUCCAACCACAACCUGACCAUAUUACCCUAACUCUAACAACCCUCCACUAAAUCAUGUCCCUGAGCACAACGUCCAAAUGGUUUUUGUAAACCUUUUCCAGUCACAUAAAGAGAAGAAAGGUAAAUGGAAAGUGCUAGUGUGGAUUUACUGUGCCUGGCAAUCCUGAUUACUUUCCAUGGUGAGAUGAUUGGUUCUAUGGAUAAGAGUAGUGCCUGUAGAUUACCUUGAUUCUAGCUAGAUCUUUGUUCUAGUUUGUUAGAAAUUCUUAUAGACAAACAGAAGAGGUAUGAACUGGACGGCUAGACUACGAAGCUAGUGAUAAACUGGCUGGAUUGUUUGGUUUGAGGUGUAGAGGUCAGUACUUAAAAGUUUAAAUGACAACCAGUUGAAGAUGCAUCCCUCAAGUGUUGAUGCUAGAGAAAUUGUUUUUUAACAUCUUCAUCAACAAUCUUGCUGAUGGGGUAGGAUUUUGCUUUCAUGAACAACACCAAACUGGAGUGAGCAAUUAAUACCCUGCAGGGCUGGGCUGUCACUUGGAGGAACUUUGACAGCUAGAGAAAUGGGGCUGGUAGAGACAUCAUGAAUAUAAACAAAGUCCUGCACCUGUGAUGGAGUUAUGUCAUGCAUCCACCGGGAUAACAGCUCUGCAGGAAGGCACGCUACAGGCAAGUUGAACACAAGGGAGCUUUGUACCCUUAGGUGAUGAAGACCAACCAUCUAUUGGGCUAAGGUAGUAAAAGUAUAUCAAUCAAGCUAAAGGUAGUGAUUAUUCAUGUUUCAUGUUUGACACCACAUUUGAAAUACCUUUCCUAGCUUCAGGUUCCUUGGUACCAGCAAGAUAUUGAUUGACAAAGCGUGAACAUACGCAUGAAAAACUGAUGAGCAGAUAAACUGAUUGUUUUGUCUGGAUAAGGGUAAGGGUCAAUGAGUCUAACUGCUAUCUGAGGAGGCUUAGGAAACUCCAUGCCAGAGGACUUUUUGAAACAACAUAUUUAACUUGAAGUUGGCUCUACUUUGAGUAGGAGAGGGCACUUGGUGAUCUUCAGAGGUCCCUUUCAAUACAUUUUCUUCUGUGAGUGAAUGAUUAUCUUAACAUGAGGCCUUAAUGCGAUUACUGGCAAGCUAGAUAUGUUUCAUAGAAAUCAUUAAAAUUAAAAAAAAAAAAAAAGUGUAAUUCUUCAUCAAAGUCUCCAGGUAAUGAAGACAGUGAGCAGUCUGCAUUUAUUAAUCAUGCUUACCUAUAGCCAAAGCAGAAAAUAUUUCAAAUAUCUAUCAGUGCCCUGAGCACACUAAUGGCUUGAGGGUACUAAUGCCCUGUCCCUGUCCACUGCUGAGGCUCCCUCACAUGGCCAGGAUCACCACGUCAUCCCAGUGCCACUCACCCCUGCCCCAGUAAGGCAGCAGGGAUGGGCUCCAGCUCCCCACAACCCUGCCCUGCCUGACCAUAGUCUGAUGCAGUUUCCGAAGGGCCGUGAAGGUUGCCAUGAGCACCAAGAGUACUUUUUUGUUGUUGGAAUUUUAUUUUAUUUUUUACUUCUGCUGUUGUGGCUAUUUGAGUUUAUGUCAAUAGUUUAAAUGCAUGGUGGAGUAAGAAGUUGAACAUGGCUCUCCCGUGCCCUUUCUGAAGGUUUUAAACACUGAGCUGUAAAAUCAUUACGAAGGGAAAAGUAAAAUUAGUAUGCAAAGUUUCUUUCUCAGGACUAUACACAGUGAUUAUAUCCCUUUUACAUACUGCUAACACAGAGCUCAUAUGUAUACCAACGCUGUGGUAGAAAUUUGUCUUUGAUUGCGUUAAUUUCUUUUCAUUGAAAACUUUGGGCGUUUCUCAGAGAGAAAAACAUCUCAAAUAUAUUUAUGAGCUGGGGAUUUUCUUUCCCAGGCGGUUUGCCUUGCAGAAAAGAUGAUCUCAUUUGCUGAGCCAUGCUGCCAGCAUUCUUCCUUUUCAUGAAAGGAAAUUAUGGCUCCUGUGAAAGUGUCACAAAUGACACGGAGGGUUGGCAGCACAGAAUCAUUAUUGCUUGUUGAGUAAACAUUUUCAAGCAGAGAAUAAAUAAAUCCUCAUCAUAACUGAGGAUUUGGAGAGGGGUAAUAGAGAACUGUAUUAGGACAUUGUUAGCAUUUAAAUGUGCCUGUUACCAAGCUAUAGCAAAAUUAACUACCGUGACUACCAUUACACUGUCUUGCAACACUUGUCUUGUGCCCCCUCCCCGGCGCUCCUUGGCCCCCUAAUUUUUCCCACAGAGCUGGGUGGUGUUUCCCACCCGGCCUUUGCCCCCAGCAGCAAAGAGAGGCAUCUCUGUCUGCUGACUGAGCUCCCCAUAGCCCCUUCCAAACUUGCAGGGAAUUUCUCUGCACAAAGGGUGGCUCAGAGCUGGCAGGUGUGGGGUGCGGGUGGCUAGGAAUGGGGGGAAUGUGAUUAUGUGUCAGGGAGGUGCAGGAGGGGAAGGCUUCUCUUCUGCUGUGUGCUACAGGCUUCAUCACGUGCUGCUGACCUCAGCACAAGAUCAGCUCACAAUGUAAAGACCCCUACCUGUCUCAUUUUCAAAAGGUUUUAUUGAGUUUUACUACUCUGAUGGUAUUGGGUAUAUGUAAAUUUUAUAGAAGAGUCACAUGGUGACUCCUACAAUUGAAGUGACUUUUCUUUUAUUGUUCUUUUAUUUUCUGCCCAAAUGAACACGUUAUUUGGGAGUGUGCUAGUGACUGGUAUCUCUGACAGUAUGACAGUGAACUACUUGCCUGACCUUAAAACAGCGACUGCAUUAUGUUGGUACAAGUUCCUGCUAUACUGUUAGUGGUUUGCAUGCUUGAAUUCACACUUUGCAAGGCUUUGAAGAAGUGGCAGUUCACACAAGAUUGUAGGGGAUGAAAGAUGACCUUUAAAAGUCUCAGUGAAGCAGCACAGCAUACUUUCUAACUAGAAUGGAUGUUCAUACAGGCUGAUGACCUGGAGGUGAGAGCACAGAUUUUGUCUUGGGUGCUGGCUAGCAGAAAGAUCUUAGUGCAUGAGCUUUUUAUUUAGGAAUUCAUUUUUCUAGGGGGUCCUUAGGAAUGGAACAUCACUCUCCUUAAGGCGUGUCUGAAACUGCAGCUGUUCAUCCAGUUUAUUGCACUUCCGGAGGCCGAAAGUUUGCUUUUUGUAGCUUAGAAAACCUCUUUGUAGGUUUUCUAUGUCCGGCAGUUGACUGAUGGUCAUCGUUUUCUCCAUUGUCCCAUUAAUGCUCAAAGGCUUUAAUUUGGAGAUAUUUUAUUUUUUUAUUAUUUUAUCUUUAUAAGGAAAAACAAUGAUAGAGAGCUCAAGGCUGUACAUGUCUUUCUAAACUCAGUAGGACCAGUUUUCUGAACUCUAGCUCUGUCACCAAGAUCAUGGGCAGACUCUGGUCCAAAUUUCUUACAGCCAGCUCCCUCUAAAGCAUGUGUCCUGGAUUCAGGAAGAUGGAGUGUUGCAAACCAAAGCAGAGGAGGAGGCUGCCAUCUAAGCAGUGUGAAGUCCACUGCAUGAGCCUGCUCAUGGUUGUUUUUGUGUUGCUGUCUUUUUUAGUAUUUAUUUUUUUACAUAGCAGUGUCAACAGACCUUGAGAAAACAGACAAAAUACAUAUCACUUUUAUUCUGCCAAUACAUACAGAAUGCCACCUCUGGAUGUAUUUGUACUACUUUCAAGGCAGUGUACCUAGUAGAUGUCAAUACAAGCUCAGUUGGACUAUCCAUAAGAAAUGAUUAUUGUAUAAUUGUAGUAUUUUACACUGAAGGACUGGAGUGAUGGCUGCACUCAGUUUUUGAUAAAUGAAAACCUGCUGCACUAAAUGAGACGGUUAAUUCACCAAAGCAUGUUUACUGUGGAAUUCACACCCAACUGCAGCAUAUGUAUGUUACUAUUACAUAAUGAAUAAAUUAUUAUGAGCUGCGACCCCCAGAGGCAUCCAGGUGCCUGAGUGUCUCCCCUCCAGUGAGUGAACUGCAGCCACUUUGACUGGUGGUAGCUGGUGCUUAGCAUACCCAGCUCAGAAGUAAGUCUCCAGGCAUCCAUAAGAGGCUUUCCAGUAAACAAGAUAGCCCCUCUAAUGAUGAAUGAGUUCUUCUUUAUUCUUAUGGCUUGAGGUAUUUAUCUUCUUGCAUCAUUUUCUGAUUUCCAGUGCUAUAGUAAGACUGCUGUAAUUUGCAAUGUAAGAGUAGUGUGAAGCUCAGUUUGUUCUGUUUAAUAUAGUGUGUGGACUGAAAUUCAAGUAGAUAGCAAUAUUUCAAAGCAAAUAAAUACAUCUGUGUAAGUCAAGACAAAUGCUAAAGCAUAAUCAGUCUCAAAGUGAAGUAUAAUUUGACCAGUGAAUGAAUUCACCAAGCUGCUAGCAGUGAAGAAAUUGGAGUUCCUUGGCACACGAAAGAAGUUUAUUGCCUAGAGAUGAUAGUGCUUGUCUCCCUGUGGACUUGUGGGGUAAAGCCUCACAUCAGCCUCACAUAUGCUAAUAAAGAUCAAUAUUUCUUAUUUUCUCUUCUCAUAGUAAGGAAAUUAAUCCAUGGUGUUACUUUAGAAAAAUAACCCAAGUGGUAGAUUUGGGCAGAGAAAUUCUUACCUACACCUCAGUUUUAUUCCACAGGAAGCCUAGUGAUUACUGCUUUGCUAAUGCAUGAGCUUAUUUGGAAAAGCAGCUUUGAGCAUGCAUAUGAAAUGGUAGCCACCCUUUGCCACUGCAUGGGCCAUUCUACUCUCAGCCCUUUGUUUUAGUAAAUAUGUUCCCAGUGGGGCAAAAUUCUUGCCAAGCCUCUUAGAAGGUGUCCUUAUACCCAUACUUCAGUUUUCCACAUAGACUUUUUUUUUUUUCUUUUUCCCCUCAACUGUUUGUUGUUAAUACAGCUUCAGGUUUCCAUUAGUACAAUAUUUGAGUGUCUCAGUCUAAAGUGUGUUUAUUUUUUCAGGUCCACGUGAAACAGGGAAGGCUCUCUGAUAUUUCUUUUCAGGUCAUACUUUGGUGGGGAGAGAAUAGAAACACAGAGAAGCUCAGAUUCUACAAUACAGUGAGGUGCCAGACUCCUACGUGUCAGAAAUUCCUCCAUGUGUUGGAGGGUCUGAGCAUGGCUUGGUUCACAUCACAAAGCAAGUAUGUGGCAGACUGGGGAAUGCAGACAAUGAAUUGGCCUGCUGUGCCUCCAGUGAAAAUGGGCUUGGAGGGCACGCAUUUAAUGACCGUCCAGAAACAAGAAGCAAAGGCAGUGAGCAGGAGGGUUUGGAAAAGAGUGGUGCAUUUCUUACGUAGGGUCUUUACUGGAUCAAACUAAGGUGUGGCUGUACCUGUCAGCAUGAAUUGUUACUGCACUCGGAAGAGGCUGUUCAUUGGAAGAUACUCAAAUUAAAAACAGAGUCCUGUAUUUUCAAGAACUGCAGGGCAAAGGGAAAGAAUAUUCAUACCAAACAUUUUUAACAUACAUAUAUUGGUAUUAUUGGCCCUAGCUCCUGACUCAGUGACAAAAGCAUAUGUGCAUAAAGUGAUUUCUUUGAGGUAAAGGUCAUUGUUCAGUCUGCGCAUGCUGAAUGUCUUGUGUUAACCUUCUCUUUAAGCAUAAGAGCAGACCUGCCACAGUCUCCAUACAUCUUGCCUUUCCUUUUGAAUCACAAAGGAUUCACUUCACUUAUAACAGCCCGACUAAACGUGGUGCAAUUCCAACACUACAAUAUAUAUAUGUAUAUAUAUAUAAAAGAUGUAUCAAGUUUUUAAAAGAAACUUCUGGAAGCUUAAACAUAGGAAUGAAGGAAUGAAGACUCAGGGCUUUGUGCAAAGCCCCGGGGACAGCCUGCGACUUUGCUGGAACAAAAGUUUCACUAUAAAUACAUUGCGAAAAGCAAACAUAAUGUAGAUAGGUUCAUUGUAUUUCUCUUGCACCUUCUCGCUUUUGUUUAAGUUUAAACCAAUCUUUUGGAACUAUGAGUCAUUUUCAGAACAGAGAGUGAUUCAGGAGAUGUAAUCUUUGUGUUUUAUAGGCCAACAUCAUUAGAUAGGCCCUAUGCAAAUUAACAGAAGCGUUGCUGAACAGCAGUGACUGGCUUACCAUGUAUUUAUGGUUGCUUCUAACUCUCAGCCAGAAAACAUAAAUGUCUCUCUGGUGGAAACGUGUUUGGUGAGCAAUAACCCUCUCAGUUGGAGAAGAUCCAUCUGUCUUUCCUUCUACUUCAUGCAUCUUCACCACUGAAAAGAAGUUCAAGGAAAAUCAAGUUUCAGUUGUCAAAAAACCUGAUGCUUAAGAAUGAUUCUGUGAAAUAGACCAAAAAAAAGCAGCUGAAUAUUUUGUGGCUUAAUUUCAAGAUUCCCAUCGGUGCUAUAAAAAUACAAUUGAGUUUUAACUACUGCCUUCAUGCUAUCAAGAUGAUCCUGUAAAACUUAACUAUUUUGGUGUUUGCUAUUAUCUGAUUCUUUAGCAUGAAGUGGAAAGCAAAAGUAUUUUCCAAGAUUAUAUUAAUAUUUUCUUUCAGUUACAAGCUACAUCAAUUAAUUUCUUUAUAAACUCUACUAUAACAAGUUCCCACUGAUUCUUGGUUACUAUAAACAACAUCUGGGUACUGCACUGGUGCACAAGUUCUGUAAACACAUACUUUUAUAUCCAUCACAUCCUGAUGUUUCACAAGGAUAAAGCUGAUGUUCCCCUAAAAAAUAGAGAAGGCAGAUGCCUGUAGUGAUUUCACCGAAGUUACAACGUGAAGCAUGUGUGAUGUUAGGUACUUUACAGUACUUCUAAAGGGAGAAAGAAUGUGGCCGCAGAAAGGGAAUCCUGCCCGCAUGUUUGAUUCUUGAAAUGCACGUUAAAAGAUUUUUAUAUAUAAUAAAAGGCAAACAGUAAUAGAACCCCGCAGAUGGAGACAACUGUAGCACAGAGAGUGAAAAAUGUCUCACCGUCGGGCAGUGGCAGAACCAGCAAUGAAACACAAACCUCUUGCUCUGCUGGUUUACUCUCCAACUAAUUCACAUAAUAGGGGGUAGGGCUCUUUGCAGUGCUUCAGGCUGAUGGAGGUUACGCCUACAUAAAGUCCACACUUUUACCCUUGUACAAAGCCCCAAGCCCCUUUUACUUGCUUUUGGAGCCCUCCCAGAGACCCUGUAGCUCAGAGGGGAUCUGAGUGUGGGUCAAACAGCAGAUAACAGCUGAGAAGGGUUUUAAGAAAAGGUUUCUGGCUGCUUCUUGGCUGUUUGCUUCCCGGCUGAGGAGGGAGCCCAUCUGUGCAAGCCUUCCUCCUUCAUUUCAGUGCUGGCAGCGAGCUGCAGUCUCUGCUUAGGAGCAGUGCCACGAGCUGUGCCUUCCAGGAACAGGAGAGGAUGCAGCGUGCCCGUGUGGGUGUGUGGUGCACCCUUUGGGCCCCAGACGCAGGGACAAGACAAGCACAAAAGGGAGAGUAGGAAAAUGGAAUAUGCACAACUGGUUUAAUGCCAUGGGUUGUACACGUUUCUGAGACCAGCGUUUGCACUCAUUACGUGAUGUGCUUUCUCUUUAAUGGAAUUCUCUUAGACGUGCUGCUGAUAGGCUCUCUUCCCAUCUCUCCUUGAAUUCAAACAUUAUGGCUGAUUGAAAAAUAAGCAUGCAUUUUUCUGCUUUUUUCUUCUUUCGGUGUUUUUUUUUGGUCAGGUGGAAACAAUGAGGUGAACUCAUUUGUGACAGGCCCUUCUUCAGGCCUCUCCAACGUGGUCUGUAAUGAGGGCACAGUGGAAAUUCCACAAAGAAGCCCAGAAGCUUUUAAGUUUGGGCAACCGUGUUGUUGUCUGUGUUUUAUUCGCAUCAAUCAGGUUUUUUUCACACCCAUCUUAGCUUCUUAUUGGUACCACAAGUCAACGCUUGCUGGAAAACGCCACCCUUGGAAAACAACCUGUAACGUACGACUGCUGUCUCUUCGUGUAUUUUCUGCUCAGAUCUUAACAUGCGCUUCCUCUGAAGGCCACCAGCGAUAAUAUUCACUCCCUCUCCAGAACCACGUGAGUAAAUACCUCCUCACGCAGGUGAGGAUUGGGCUGGGCACAAACAAGAGGAGGAUGCCAAGUAAACACAGGACUGCUGGGCAGCUUUGGUGGAUCCCAGUGCUAUUGUCUGGGUAAUUCAGGGGAAGGUUUCACUAAAAUGGUGUCCUUGUCACGCGAAGCACGGAAAACAGCUUCCCCGCUCCGGCUAGCAGUGGUCCGUGAGUAACUUGCCUGCAUGACGGCCGCCGGCCAGCAGGGGGCGCCUGCUUCGUGCAGCCCCUGGGCUGUUUAAUGCCUGGGGCCUCCGUGCACGAACGAGGUCGUUGCUGCCCGCGAGAGGCUGUGUAGCGAGGCCCCGCCCAGGUGCUAGGGCAGCCUUGCAGGGUGAAUGCCUUCCUUAGCGGUGAAGGCAGCUGGAAGUUUGCUGAUGGACAGUGUGAGCUGACCACUCCUCUUGCGAGGUCACACCCCCUGCAGGAUGCUUAGACCAAGUCAGGACUCAGCAGGGGCUUUCAGUCAUCCCACUGGCUGUAGGUGUUAAGGUUUUGCAUUUGCUUUCAAAGCAACCAGAAGUAAUGGUGUUUUUUGUUUGUUUGUUUGUUUGUUUGUUUGUUUCGUUGCACAUCUCCCCACUUGCUUGGGAGGAUCUGCCCGGAAAAUGGGGAGCUGCAGCCCCCGGGGAAUAGCCAUGCUGUUGAUGGGAGGCUGGGGACAAUGGUGAGACUGUUCCACUGUAGGAAAGGCAGCUGAAGGCUCAGACAAGAGGAGCACGCGGGAACAGGCUUUGUGGCUCAGGCUCUGCAUGAAAGCGCUUAGCACAGGACAGGGAGCACAGUUUCAGUCCCAGGUGUCUACCUGUCUUUGGUUAUUCAAUGCAUAGUGGUUAUUAAAAUGAAGAAAUCAGAAUUCCUGAUCCAGCUUGUUCUUAUUUUUCCCUCUCUCUCUCUCUCUCUCUCUCUCUUUUUUUUUAAUGAAACAGAAGUCUGAUUGUGGUGCCAUCCAUGUAACAGAAUGCUGUUGGUGUGUGCUGGUGUUCUCUGUUCAUGCACGUAAACCUGGGACUCCCAGGGAACUUAAGAAGCAUGAGCCUUGUUUGUGAAUCUCCAGAUGGGGGCAGACAUUGAGAUGCACGGCUAGAAUAUUAGGCUGGGAUUGAUUACCCCAGUUCAGCUGUCAGGGAGCAGAAAGAAUUAAACCAAAGUCUCCUGGAUCCCAGGAAAAUGGCAUUACCGAUACCUCAACAUUUGGAGCAUCACUCAACAGUGAGCCCUGUGGCUGACAGUGGAGAGCCCAGUUCUGCCAGAGUGCUGGAGAACAUCUACUGGGAAAUUCAGACCACCUGGGGAGGUAGCUCAGCAAGCAAGGAGGAGAUCUCUUAGACUGGAACCCGAUCGCAAAUGGUCCAGCCAGAGGCGUUAGACCAGAAAGAUGGAUGCUGGACUAUAGAAAACCUCAGAGCUGGAGUAUGUAAUUAUGUUUGUCUUAUGACAGAGUUUUGCCCCAGCUACAGCCAAAAGAAGAAAAAAAAAAUCUUCCAAAUAUUUGGAUUUAUAAAGGAAUUCUCUACAGCUUGACUUGCAUGUUUUACAUGGUCACAUUCAAAUUUGCCUGCAUAAAUAUUCACAGAUGCUGGAGUCUAAAAGUUUACCCAUGUGGAUAUUUGCUUUGAAAGAGCUAGUACUUUCAUCCAGUCCAUGAAGCUGUGAUUCCAGACUUAUGUGACCAAUUACAAGUAGAUGGUUACACAGACAUUAACAAAGCAGAUCUGAACAGAAAAAAAUUCCUAAGAAUUCAAGUUAUUUUCAGACGCGGUGUUGAAAACAAACAAGUUAAAUGUGUUUUAAAGUUUUAUUUUUGCUUUUAAUUAUUCCCAAACCACUAAUCACAGCAAUACUCUAAAUGCCUUUAAAGAGAGCUCUUUGCAUGGCUUCUUGUUUUAUGUUGACUUUCUGAACCUAAAAGGCUGACAGAAACAUAAGUGAGCACGAAGGGUAAACCCAUUAAUUGAUUACAUUCAUCACUUUUAAGUAUUUGUAAAACUGUUUAAAAAGUAUUUCCUUAUCAGUUCCUAGGUGUUUUCACUAUAUAAUACCUAGACUUUCAAGUGAAACAAUAAUUAAGCAUUACAGUCAACAUGCAUUUCCUUAUAUGAAUAACUUGGGCUCUGAAUACUCUUGAGCAAAGACUUCUGAAAUGUGUCUGAAUUCUUUGACAGUCAGCGCUUAUCUGAUGCUCAAUAACUAUUUAUGACAGCAGAAAUCUUCUAAGAUGCCAUUGAAAUGCAUUUUUGUGUGACAUGGGUAAUCUUUCAUCUUUCUGUGGACUAUAGAAUUCCCACAUAAUGCCAUAGUAAAAACAUCUGCAUCUCAGUACAGAGAAGAUGAUCACUGUUUUUACAGCCUAUGCAUUUAGAAUCACUACCUCUUUCUUGUCACGAUUAAAUUCCUUCGUAUGCCCACAAAUAAAAAGUAAUGCAUAUUUGGUUCAAAGUUAUGUUUUUCUCAAUUCACUCUCUCUGAAAACAGAAAACAGGAGUUUUAAAAUACAUUCGAGUUUCAGGCUGCUGUGGCUCUGAUGGUUUGUAUCUGCCUCCACUAAUGAAAAAUAGUAAUCCUCUUUCACAUGCCCCACUUUUAAAACCAUCCUUUAUUUUAAGCUGUUCAAGAUGCUCAUGGUUCUGUUGUAUCAAAUGAAAUUCUACAACCGUAAGUAAAAUUUUGUGGAAUGAAUUUGAAGCUGAAGAAAGCAAGAUUUACAAAACAGGAGAUUUACAACUGAGAAAGCACAUCAUUCUGAAGAACAGCACCUUUACUUUCAUUUCCCUCCAAAAAGACAAUGUUCAAUACAGUAACACAACAUAACAGUAACCCUAGUGGAGGUGGUUUAUUAUUUAUCGUAAAACUCAAAAUUGAGUUAUCACUAGCUCCUACAGUAUAGAGGCAGCCAGACAGCCUCUGAAUACUGCGAACACAUUUAUGCUAAGAGUUGCCUGCACAGCAUCCCUUAAUGAUACUUCUGGUCAGUGUUGACAUGAACUCCGUUAUGAGCUACUUUGGGGCGUGCAUGUGGUACUUCUCCAAGUCUGCCUAAAAGUCAUUGGAACAUCUGAUGUCUCUGUUAGUCUUCUAUUUUUUCAAAGAGUAUAUAACUGUAUGUUCUUUUUGACAAAUCUAAGGUGCCAGUUCACCUGAGCUGAUCACCUGCUUGUGUGCACUUUAGAUCUAUCUCACAGAUUUUAUGCUGUGGUUAUAGUAAAAUCAAUGCUCACUCGCAAUUUCUCCAAUGCCCAAAUUCUCUUUUAUUCUGCUGAUCACAUCUCUGGCUGCCAUCAUUAUAAAAUCAUAUCCAGGCAGGCCAGCCCUGGAAGAUAAAUCACAUCAGUGCAAAGCCUGUUUGUGAGCUCUGAUUUGUUGGCUUUGUUAAACCUGCAGGGCUUGUGAAUCUCCACUCGUUUUAGUCUGCACUUUGAGACCAGUGGGCUCUAAUGUCUUGGAUUCUUUUUCCUAAUUAAAGCACAAGUAAACUGUUACAGAAACGUUUGUGACAACAUGAGAUGAGUAUUAAAAGACAAGAGGUCUGUCUCCCAGAAAGAAUGCUACAGCGUGGCUGCAAUGGCAUUAUGUGAGAUGACAUGAGCACAGGUAGCAGAGGUGUCUACUGGGAUCAGAGAGGUUGCAUCUCUGGGUGCCUGGGGUGUUUUUGCUGCUGUUAUGUUGUAAAUUUAUUGCACGUCUGCUUUCAGAGCCCUGGAAAUUCAGUUUUGUUCAAACAAUAUUCUUUCCUUUCACAGUGAUUUCACUAGUUUCUCCAGGUGCCAGUAUCACAGCCUGUUAUAUGUUGAUGAAGUAAAGACAG
ensembl:lncRNA